UGGGGAAUAUUGCACAAUGGGCGCAAGCCUGAUGCAGCCAUGCCGCGUGUAUGAAGAAGGCCUUCGGGUUGUAAAGUACUUCCAGUCGGGAGGAAGGUGUCAAGGUUAAUAACCUUGGCAAUUGACGUUACCGACAGAAGAAGCACCGGCUAACUCCGUGCCAGCAGCCGCGGUAAUACGGAGGGUGCAAGCGUUAAUCGGAAUUACUGGGCGUAAAGCGCACGCAGGCGGUUGAUUGAGUCAGAUGUGAAAUCCCCGGGCUUAACCCGGGAAUUGCAUCUGAUACUGGUCAGCUAGAGUCUUGUAGAGGGGGGUAGAAUUCCAUGUGUAGCGGUGAAAUGCGUAGAGAUGUGGAGGAAUACCGGUGGCGAAGGCGGCCCCCUGGACAAAGACUGACGCUCAGGUGCGAAAGCGUGGGGAGCAAACAGG
rnacentral:rRNA from 1 species